GCCCUGCUUGCCCCAGAAGAAGGCCAAGAUAGAAGAUAGGGCUUGUGGGAGGAUCCUGAACCCUUCCCUUCCUCACUGACUCUGGAGCUCAGCAUGAAGCCUCUAGAUCAGCACAGCCAUCAAACUCAUUCUCAUGUUGUGUAAAAUGACAGCUGUAAUCACAGAUGAAUGAUAUGGAUCACUCUAGAGAGGAAAAUCUGCUUGGAGGAUGAGUCAUUUAAAACAUCUUGUGAGGUUGCUUUGAGCUUUAUCUCCCAUGCGAAGAACAGCCAUAUGAUUUAAAGAGCUUCUCAAUCCAAUCAUUAGUAUUGAUUUUAAAUGGGCAUUACUACUAAUAAUAAUAAAUAUGACUUUUGAAAUA